rnacentral:rRNA from 1 species
UACGUAGGGUGCGAGCGUUGUCCGGAAUUAUUGGGCGUAAAGGGCUCGUAGGCGGUCUGUCACGUCGGGAGUGAAAACUCAGGGCUUAACCCUGAGCCUGCUUCCGAUACGGGCAGACUAGAGGUAUGCAGGGGAGAACGGAAUUCCUGGUGUAGCGGUGAAAUGCGCAGAUAUCAGGAAGAACACCAAUGGCGAAAGCAGCUUUCUGGGACGGUACUGACGCUGAGACGCGAAAGCGUGGGGAGCGAACAGG